rnacentral:rRNA from 1 species
UACGGGGAGGCAGCAGGUGGGGAAUAUUGCACAAUGGGCGCAAGCCUGAUGCAGCCAUGCCGCGUGUAUGAAAAAGGCCUUCGGGUUGUAAAGUACUUUCAGUCGUGAGGAAGGUGUUAAGGUUAAUAACCUUAGCAAUUGACGUUAGCGACAGAAGAAGCACCGGCUAACUCCGUGCCAGCAGCCGCGGUAAUACGGAGGGUGCGAGCGUUAAUCGGAAUUACUGGGCGUAAAGGGCACGCAGGCGGUUAAUUAAGUUGGAUGUGAAAUCCCCGGGCUUAACCUGGGAAUGGCAUUCAAGACUGGUUAGCUAGAGUCUUGUAGAGGGGGUAGAAUUCCAUGUGUAGCGGUGAAAUGCGUAGAGAUGUGGAGGAAUACCGGUGGCGAAGGCGGCCCCUGGCAAAGGACUGACGCUCA